rfam:Gossypium raimondii Chr01_contig_711, whole genome shotgun sequence.
CACGUCAGAGCGCUUUGCUGACGUGGCAGCAAAUUGUGUCCAUGUAAGCGCGAUUUGUUGCCACGUCAGCAAAACGCUCUAACGUGG